UGGGGAAUUUUGGACAAUGGGCGAAAGCCUGAUCCAGCAAUGCCGCGUGUGUGAAGAAGGCCUUCGGGUUGUAAAGCACUUUUGUCCGGAAAGAAAUCCUUGGCUCUAAUACAGUCGGGGGAUGACGGUACCGGAAGAAUAAGCACCGGCUAACUACGUGCCAGCAGCCGCGGUAAUACGUAGGGUGCAAGCGUUAAUCGGAAUUACUGGGCGUAAAGCGUGCGCAGGCGGUUUGCUAAGACCGAUGUGAAAUCCCCGGGCUCAACCUGGGAACUGCAUUGGUGACUGGCAGGCUAGAGUAUGGCAGAGGGGGGUAGAAUUCCACGUGUAGCAGUGAAAUGCGUAGAGAUGUGGAGGAAUACCGAUGGCGAAGGCAGCCCCCUGGGCCAAGUACUGACGCUCAUGCACGAAAGCGUGGGGAGCAAACAGGAUUAGAUACCCUGGUAGUCCACGCCCUAAAACGAUGUCAACUAGUUGUUGGGGAUUCAUUUCCUUAGUAACGUAGUAACGCGUGAAGUUGACCGCCUGGGGGAGUACGGUCGCAAGAUUAAAACUUAAAUGAAUUG
rnacentral:rRNA from 1 species